GUGGAAAACAAGACAAAGAUUUUUUAGAAUGACACUGUAAAACAAUUGAAAGGGAUGUAGCGCAGCUUGGUAGC
rnacentral:tRNA from 1 species